UACGUAGGGUGCGAGCGUUGUCCGGAAUUAUUGGGCGUAAAGGGCUUGUAGGCGGUUUGUCGCGUCUGCUGUGAAAAUCCGGGGCUCAACCCCGGACUUGCAGUGGGUACGGGCAGGCUGGAGUGUGGUAGGGGAGACUGGAAUUCCUGGUGUAGCGGUGGAAUGCGCAGAUAUCAGGAGGAACACCGAUGGCGAAGGCAGGUCUCUGGGCCACUACUGACGCUGAGAAGCGAAAGCAUGGGGAGCGAACAGG
rnacentral:rRNA from 1 species